ensembl:ncRNA lncRNA:CR45286 long non-coding RNA:CR45286
AUUGUCUUUUUUGUUGCUGUUUGAACAGCUAAUGGAUUUAUUGGGUAAACAGCUGUCGCAUGUUGAGCAUUUGUCAAAAACCACAAUACAGGUUUCGAUUUCGAACAAAUAAAAUAGUUCCGUGCACAGCAUUGUUUAUUUUCGCUGGUUUUGCCUAGUUUUGGCAUAGACUCGCCUGCCAGACAACACGUCUCCAGCGAGCUAAAGACAGAAAUAUAUAAUGCCAUAAGUGUAGAGCAUUUCUAGCCAUUCAUUUUGGAUUUUGGCCAUACGUCUUGACAAACCCCAUAAAAGAUUUUAGCCUCUCUCAGUUUCCUUCUGACUAUCGCGCCCCCAUUGAACACUUGGGGGUCACACAUCUUGAGCUCGCAUAAAUAAUAACCGUAACGAUGUGCUUCGAGACUUUGGACAAGGUCAGAAAAGCGUAGCGAAACGCCUUUGCAUUCGGUUUGCCGAGCCGGCACACGCUGCGUAUACGCAAUGCCGCUGAAGUGGCUUAAUUAACUGCAGGCGGAGAAGGAAAAAUUAAGUGCAAAUUGGCGAUUAAGUGAGUAAUUUAUGAAGCAAAAUUUCACCAGCUGGAGAUGAGCACCGCAGAGAGACCGGUUACAAAUUGAGACCUGGCCAAGAAUCGAAUCGCUAUGCUUAUUUUUGUAUUAACUCAUAAAUUCGGAGUUCGUUAAGAAUGUCGAAAUAAUAAAUGCGGCUGCCACAUUAAGACCCCCAACAGCAGCAACAACAAACAAAACAAUGAACAAUCGAUUAAAUACAAAAUAAGAAAAAAGGAGCCUGAAAUGCAGCAGCCGCCGCAGCGCAGAACAAAGACCAAAAGUGCCGACAAAAUGUUGGCAAGCCGGGGACAUUUGGACAGCGGACGGAUGCCGAGAUAAAUGCUACAAGCAAGUGGAAAAGCCGAGGAGAAGAAGCAAACACGAAAAUUUAUUAAAAAUCUGCUGGCAAUGAUAUGCAAAUAAUAAAAAUCGAGCUGCAAAUAAAGUGAAUGGCGUCGACGAAAGACAAAGGGCGAAACAGAGACAUUGCAAUUUGUAGCUGAGCCUCCAUUAACAUAAACUAAGGAGAAACACACAAUUCUGUGCGAAAUUUAUUGAGAGUGGUAACAAAACAAUUUAUACCCUUAUAAUGGGCUUAUUAGCCAUUAUUAGUACCGCUUAUCGAAGGCUACUCCAACGUGCAGGCCAUCAGGUUGUCCCCUCUCAAAUUUCAGCUCGCGAGUUCGCCUUUUUACCUUCUUAGCUGUUCCCCUUCUGGCUGUUGACAAAAAUAAAAAUGAAAAAUUAUCGCAAUAAAUUAAAUUUGCUAUCGCAAGACAUUAAU